rnacentral:rRNA from 1 species
AGAUCACCGCUAUUAGAGUUCCACUAACCCAUGCGAGUUCCUGGGUAAAACCAGAGCGAACGGCUGAGUAACACGUAGUUAACAUCACUUUAGGUGGCGAAUAACCUUGGGAAACUGAGAUGAAUACGCCAUAGUCAACAAUGCCUGGAACGGUUUAUUGACGAAAGCUUCGGCGCCUAAAGAUUGGACUGCGGAGGAUUAGGUCGAUGUUAGGGUAAUGACCUGACAUGCCAAUAAUCCUUAGGGGCCAUGAAAGUGGUAGCCUCCAGAUGGAUUCUGAGACACGAAUCCAGGCCCUAUGGGGCGCAGCAGGGGGGAAAACUCCGCAAUGCACGAAAGUGUGACGGGGGAACUCUAAGUGCCAGCACACUGUGUUGGCUUUUCAUUAGUCCAAAUCGCUAGUGGAAUAAGUGGGGGGUAAGACCGUUGCCAGCCUUUUUAAGAAUUGGCAAUGCCCAAGUCUUAGAACUGGAUGCCGCGGUAAUAACGGCUCCACAAGUGGUGAUCACGUAUAUUGGGUCUAAAGCAUUCGUAGCCGGUUUGUUAAGUCUUCUGUGAAAUCUGGCAGAAAACUGUCAGGCGUGCAGGAGAUACUGGCAAGCUUGGAACCGGGAGGAGCCUGGAGUACUUUUAGGGUAGGGGUAAAAUCCUGUAAUCCUAAAGGGACUACCUGUGGCGAAGGCGCCAGGCUAGAACGGAUUCGACGGUGAGGGAUGAAAGCGUGGGGAGCAAAGGGGAUUAGAUUUCGAAAAUCGAAGAUUUUCUGUAUUUCGUCGAUUUUCGACUAAAUACCCCCGUAGUCCACGCUGUAAACGAUGCCCGCUUGGUAUUGGAAGUUGCUAGACUUCUUCCAGUGCCGUAGGGAAGCCAUUGAGCGGGCCACCUGGGAAGUACAGUCGCAAGGCUGAAACUUAAAGGAAUUGGCGGGGGAGCACACAAGGGGUGCGGUCUGCGGUUC